UGCACUAAGGUGUGAUUGAAACCAAUCAUUGUGACUACUACGACUACUUUGACUACUGGGGUAAAGGAACAAUGGUCACUGUAACUUCAGCCACUUCAUCCAAACCAACCGUGUUUCCUCUGAUGCAAUGCGGGUCUGAGACUGCAAACACCGUCACUCUUGGCUGCCUUGCCACUGGCUUCUCGCCCUCCUCGGUGACCUACGCGUGGAGCAAAGCUGGAACUGCCUUGACGGACUUCAUCCAGUAUCCUCCAGUAGAGAAGAGUGGUGUUUAUACAGGAAUCAGUCAAAUCAAAGUGAACAAAGAGGACUUGGAUGCAAAGCAGCCCUUUAAAUGCAUCGCAUCAAACACAGCAGGAGACGGAGAGGGGAUUUUCAUCGUGACACUGCCGAUUUAUAAGGAGCCAACUCUUAAAGUGUUUUCCUCAUGUGAUGGGGGAGAGGAGGUUUCCUUCUCAUGCUUUGCCAAAGAUUUUGCACCAAAGCAGUACGAGUUCAAAUGGCUGAAAAACGAUGGGGUAAUCCCCCACGACACAUAUGUGGACCAAACUCCUGCCAAAGAAAAAAAGACAGAGAAUGGAACUCUGUACAGUGCAGCAAGUUUCCUCACAGUACCAGCCAGCGAGUGGACUCAAGACACCAAGUAUGUAUGCGAGUUUAAGGGGAAAGGUAUGAAAGGUCCAGUGUACAAGAAUUCUUCUGUGAGCAACAAUGGGCUCAACAAUUGUUGCGAGGAAAUUCCAACAAGUCCCGUAUGUUCUGUGGUAGAUGUGGAUAUAAAUAUCAAUGGCCCUUCAAUGGAUGACUUGUUUUCAAAAGGAAAAGGAACAAUGGUGUGUGAGGUCACGGUAAAUAAGGUCUCUGCAGACAAGAUUUAUUGGACAGACGAGCAAGGGAACGACAUAGCUGCUGCCUCAACAACUAGCAGCAAAGGACAUAAAGGCAAAUUCAGCCUUCCCCUUGAAAUCUCCUUUGAUGAUUGGAGCCGUGGGGUAAAGCCCUUCUGUAAUGUUGCACAUUCGGAGUAUACUGACCCCAUCAAGAAACAGCUUGAAAGGAAUAUUGGAGGACUGACUCAGCGUCCAUCAGUGUUUAUGCUGCCUCCGUUAGAACAUACUAGAAAAGAAAUGGUGACCUUGUCUUGCUAUGUGAAAGACUUCUACCCCAAGGAGGUUUAUGUGUCUUGGCUUGUUGAUGACGAGAAAGCAGACUCAAAGUACGGGUUCCAUACCACAAAACCUGUAGAAAACCAAGGAUCUUAUUCGGCAUAUAGCCAGUUAUCCCUCAGCUUCGAGCAGUGGAACAAGAGUGAUGCAGUGUUUAGUUGUGUAGUAUACCACGAGUCUCUGACUAACACAACUAAAGCUAUUGUCAGGUCCAUUGGGUCCAAAACCUCUCAAAACAUCAACCUGGUCAACCUCAACAUGAACAUCCCUGAAACGUGCAAGGCCCAGUAGAUG